UUCUUUCUUUUUCUUUUUUUUUUUAUUUUUCUGGGCUCUUUCGAUCCGGAGACUCCCAAAAAUCAAAGAAUUGACUGGAACCAGCUGAGGCUCAGGGAAGAAAUGAACCUAGGACUUUUCUGUCAGGAAGGUUCCCUCUUCACCCUAGCCUAUAGUAGCAACAGGUGCCACCUUUGGGAGAAGGCCCAGACCUGGAAUGGCAGUCUCUCUACUAGCAAAAAAAAAAGGACAGGGCUGAGCUGAUUCUCAAAGCAGACAUCCAUCCUACCCCAGCAACCCCUUCCCCUGGUGUGAAACACACGCCUCAUUAGUGCUGAGAGCCGUGGGGUGGGACUACAGACUCACCUGCAUACCCCGUGGUCCAAAUUCUCAGCCAGGUCAGCAGCUUCCCACCAACCACCCUUUCUGUCCUUUGUUCAUUUUGGCUCUAUGAAACAAAGUCUUUCUAUGAGGCCUUGGCUUGUCUGGAACUCACCAUGUAGAUCAGGUUGGCCUCAAACUUGUUGCAGUACCCCUGCCUCAGACUACAGGUGUGUGCCACCAUGCCUGACCGAAUCCUCCUUUCACAGGCCACACAUCUCCUCCCAAACCAGGCUGCUGUUCUAAGAUAUGUGUUUGUCCUGGGUAGGCACUCCCUAAGUGUCACCCUUAUUCUUUCACAUGCAAUGAGUGGGGGACAGGAUUGGUGAUGCCAUGUGCCUGUACAUCUGUGGAGGCUACCACACAGGGGGAAGCCCCUGAACAUGCAGUCUGUCUGCAAAAGGAGUGUCUGAGGAAAACUCUCAGGUCAGCAUGAGGGUAGGGCACGCUCAUAAAACCAAGGCAUGAUGCUUAGCAUGGCCGUGCUGCCUGGCAUCGGUCUCUGGAUGACUUAUGUGUGUGUAUUGCUUUAUGUGGCCCUAGUGGAACUACACAGAGCCUCCUCAGGCCAGCCUGCUACCCAAGCCUUAUUUCUGCAGGCCAACUUACAGCUUUCAUCUACCACCUUACACUUAGCUCUCCCAUCCUGAUGGCGUCAGUCCCCUUGGAUGAACAGUUUCCCGACUCCAUCUAGUCCUUUGAGAUAUCCCCUAAGACAGUCGUUGUAUGGCUACAAUAAUUCCCUCUGUCUUCGGCUUCCCUUUCUGCUUUCUUAAUUACUCCAACUAUGGUCAGAAAAUAUGAGAUGGAAAAUUCUAGAAAUAAACAAUGCACGAGUUUUUAAUUGUUUGUCUUUGUAAUACUGUUAUGAGAUUCGUGCCAUCCACCCCCUAUCCCACCUGGGAUAUGAGUGAAGUCCCUGUCAACCAAAUCCAGAGUGUUUUGCUACCUACCCCUUAGUCACUUGGUAACCGUCUCAACAGGUCUGCCUUCUGGGUGUCACAAUGCUUACCUUUAAUUUUACUUAUUAGUAAAAUAUGAU
rnacentral:lncRNA from 1 species